GGGCCUAUGGUCUAGUGGUACGACGUCUCCUUGACGUGGAGAAGAUCAGCGGUUCGAUCCCGCUUGGGCCCA
rnacentral:tRNA from 1 species